rnacentral:rRNA from 1 species
AUUGAACGCUAGCGGGAUGCCUUACACAUGCAAGUCGAACGGAGUGGCGAACGGGUGAGUAAUGUAUCGGAACGUGCCCAGUAGCGGGGGAUAACUACGCGAAAGCGUAGCUAAUACCGCAUACUAUUGGAGCGGCCGAUAGCGUAUUAGCUAGUUGGUGGGGAAACGGCCCACCAAGGCGACGAUCCGUAGCUGGUUGGAGAGGACGAACAGCAACACUGGGCCUGAGCCACGGCCCGGACUCCUACGGGAGGCAGCAGGGGGGAAUUUUGGACAAUGGGGGAAUCCCUGUGCCACCCAUCCGGGGUUAUCGAUGAAGGCCUUGGGUUUGAAAAGCACUUUUGGCAGGAAAGCGGUACCUGCAGAAUAAGCACCGGCUACUUCCGUGCCAGAGCCGCGGUAAUUC